rnacentral:rRNA from 1 species
GACGAACGCUGGCGGCGUGCCUAAUACAUGCAAGUCGAGCGAAUCAUUAGGAGCUUGCUCCUAAUGAUUAGCGGCGGACGGGUGAGUAACACGUGGGCAACCUGCCUGUAAGACUGGGAUAACACCGGGAAACCGGUGCUAAUACCGGAUAAUUCUUUUCCUCUCAUGAGGAAAAGCUGAAAGUCGGUUUCGGCUGACACUUACGGAUGGGCCCGCGGCGCAUUAGCUAGUUGGUGAGGUAACGGCUCACCAAGGCGACGAUGCGUAGCCGACCUGAGAGGGUGAUCGGCCACACUGGGACUGAGACACGGCCCAGACUCCUACGGGAGGCAGCAGUAGGGAAUCUUCCGCAAUGGACGAAAGUCUGACGGAGCAACGCCGCGUGAGUGAUGAAGGCCUUCGGGUCGUAAAACUCUGUUGUUAGGGAAGAACAAGUAUCGGAGUAACUGCCGGUACCUUGACGGUACCUAACCAGAAAGCCACGGCUAACUACGUGCCAGCAGCCGCGGUAAUACGUAGGUGGCAAGCGUUGUCCGGAAUUAUUGGGCGUAAAGCGCGCGCAGGCGGUCCUUUAAGUCUGAUGUG